rnacentral:rRNA from 1 species
UACGUAGGGUGCAAGCGUUAAUCGGAAUUACUGGGCGUAAAGCGUGCGCAGGCGGCUUUGCAAGACAGAUGUGAAAUCCCCGGGCUUAACCUGGGAACUGCAUUUGUGACUGCAUGGCUGGAGUGCGGCAGAGGGGAUGGAAUUCCGCGUGUAGCAGUGAAAUGCGUAGAUAUGCGGAGGAACACCGAUGGCGAAGGCAAUCCCCUGGACCUGUACUGACGCUCAUGCACGAAAGCGUGGGGAGCAAACAGG